UGUUGAUGGACAUUUUGAGCAGAAGGCAGCUUAUGGUUUAUCCACCAUCCAGAGGCAGGUAUGGACAGUGAUAAAGAGUUGCUCCCUCCAUGAUGGCAUCAGUUUCAUGGACUUGAGCAUGGACCUUGGAUUCCUCAGCAGUACAUCCAUCAGAAGGACCUUGCAGUUUCUCCUCCAUGAAGGUCUCAUCUACUCAACUAUUGAUGAGGACCACUUCAAGUCCAUAGCCGAUAGUAACUGAGGGCUGUUCUGGAUAUGAAUAGCCGGUAAGCCUGUGUAAAUGAGAUUUUGAUGAUGGCCAUAGCUCUCCUGAUCAUGAUGUUAAAAUCAAUCCUGUUAAUGGGGGAUGCGGGGGACCACUAUAACUCUGGGUUGUCGGGCACCUCCCCAAUCUGCACACUCCUGAGUCUUGGUGAGGAACACCUAAGGACCAAAAAGAUUCAUAACCAGUUGAAUACCACAUUUUCUUUCUGACUUGUUAUUGGUCUUGUGGGGUUUUUACCUCCCCCAUUUAUUUUUUUUGUGCAGAU